rnacentral:rRNA from 1 species
AUUGAACGCUGGCGGCAGGCUAAACACAUGCAAGUCGAGCGGAGAUGAGGUGCUUGCACCUUAUCUUAGCGGCGGACGAGUGAGUAAUGCUUAGGAAUCUGCCUAUUAGUGGGGGACAACAUUCCGAAAGGAAUGCUAAUACCGCAUACGUCCUGCGGGAGAAAGCAGGGGAUCUUCGGACCUUGCGCUAAUAGAUGAGCCUAAGUCGGAUUAGCUAGUUGGUGGGGUAAAGGCCUACCAAGGCGACGAUCUGUAGCGGGUCUGAGGGGAGGGUCCGCCAACCUGGGACUGGGACACGGCCCAGACUCCGACGGGAGGCAGCAGUGGGGAAUAUUGGACAAUGGGGGAAACCCUGAUCCAGCCAUGCCGCGUGUGUGAAGAAGGCCUUAUGGUUGUAAAGCACUUUAAGCGAGGAGGAGGCUACUGAGACUAAUACUCUUGGAUAGUGGACGUUACUCGCAGAAUAAGCACCGGCUAACUCUGUGCCAGCAGCCGCCGUAA